rnacentral:rRNA from 1 species
UACAGAGGAGCCAAGCGUUGUCCGGAUUGACUGGGCGUAAAGCGCACGCAGGCGGUCGCGCGCGUGGGGUGUGAAAUCUGGCCGCUUAACGGCCAGGCGCCAUCCCAUACGGCGCGACUGGAGUGAUGCAGAGGUCGGUGGAAUUGCCGGUGUAGUGGUGAAAUGCGCAGAUAUCAGGAGGAACACCAAUAGCGAAGGCAGCUCGCUGGGACGUUACUGACACUGAGGCGCGAAAGCGUGGGGAGCGAACAGG